UACGUAGGGUGCAAGCGUUGUCCGGAAUUAUUGGGCGUAAAGAGCUCGUAGGCGGUCUGUCGCGUCGGCUGUGAAAUCCCGAGGCUCAACCUCGGGUCUGCAGUCGAUACGGGCAAACUAGAGUAUUGCAGGGGAGACUGGAAUUCCUGGUGUAGCGGUGAAAUGCGCAGAUAUCAGGAGGAACGCCGGUGGCGAAGGCGGGUCUCUGGGCAAUAACUGACGCUGAGGAGCGAAAGCGUGGGGGAGCGAACAGG
rnacentral:rRNA from 1 species